rnacentral:sRNA from 1 species
AUGAAUGGAUACGCGGAAUUUCCGCCCAGCCCCAGUAACCCCACCAAGGAGCCCGUGGAGCCCCAGCCCAGCCAGGUCCCACUGCAGGAAGAUGUGGACAUGAGCAGUGGCUCCAGUGGACAUGAGACCAACGAAAACUGCUCCACGGGGCGGGACUCGCAGGGCAGUGACUGUGACGACAGUGGGAAGGAGCUGGGGAUGCUGGUGGAGCCACCGGAUGCCCGCCAGAGUCCAGACACCUUUAGCCUGAUGAUGGCAAAAUCUGAACACAACCCAUCUACAAGCGGCUGCAGUAGCGACCAGUCUUCGAAAGUGGACACACACAAAGAACUGAUAAAAACACUAAAGGAGCUGAAGGUCCACCUCCCUGCAGACAAGAAGGCCAAGGGCAAGGCCAGUACGCUGGCCACCUUGAAGUACGCCCUCAGGAGCGUGAAGCAGGUGAAAGCCAAUGAAGAGUAUUACCAGCUGCUGAUGUCCAGCGAGGGUCACCCCUGUGGAGCAGACGUGCCCUCCUACACCGUGGAGGAGAUGGAGAGCGUUACCUCUGAGCACAUUGUGAAGAAUGCCGAUAUGUUUGCGGUGGCCGUGUCCCUGGUGUCUGGGAAGAUCCUGUACAUCUCUGACCAGGUUGCCUCCAUAUUUCACUGUAAAAGAGAUGCCUUCAGCGAUGCCAAGUUUGUGGAGUUCCUGGCGCCUCACGAUGUGGGCGUGUUCCACAGUUUCACCUCCCCGUACAAACUUCCCUUGUGGAGCAUGUGCAGUGGAGCAGAUUCUUUUACUCAAGAAUGCAUGGAGGAGAAAUCUUUCUUUUGCCGUGUCAGUGUCAGGAAAAGCCACGAGAAUGAAAUCCGCUACCACCCCUUCCGCAUGACGCCCUACCUGGUCAAGGUGCGGGACCAACAAGGUGCUGAGAGUCAGCUUUGCUGCCUUCUGCUGGCAGAGAGAGUGCACUCUGGUUAUGAAGCCCCUAGAAUUCCUCCUGAAAAGAGAAUUUUUACAACCACCCAUACACCAAAUUGUUUGUUCCAGGAUGUGGAUGAAAGUCCUCCAGUCAGGCGGGCAGCCUUUCGACUAUUCUCCCAUUCGGUUUCGCGCCCGGAACGGAGAGUACAUCACGCUGGACACCAGCUGGUCCAGCUUCAUCAACCCAUGGAGCAGGAAAAUCUCCUUCAUCAUUGGGAGGCACAAAGUCAGGGUGGGCCCUUUGAAUGAGGACGUGUUUGCA